UACGGAGGGUGCGAACGUUGCUCGGAAUCAUUGGGCGUAAAGAGCUCGUAGGCGGCUUGUCACGUCGGGUGUGAAAGCCCGGGGCUUAACCCCGGGUCUGCAUUCGAUACGGGCAGGCUAGAGUGUGGUAGGGGAGAUCGGAAUUCCUGGUGUAGCGGUGAAAUGCGCAGAUAUCAGGAGGAACACCGGUGGCGAAGGCGGAUCUCUGGGCCAUUACUGACGCUGAGGAGCGAAAGCGUGGGGAGCGAACAGG
rnacentral:rRNA from 1 species